rnacentral:rRNA from 1 species
CAAUGGGGGAAACCCUGACCGAGCAACGCCGCGUGUGCGAUGGAGUCCCUCAGGGACGUGAAGCACUGUGGGGGGCCGCCAAACGGGCGGGCAGGAAAUGGCCCGUCCCCGAGGAGCCCCCUAGAAAGCGACUGCUAACCACGUGCCAGCAGCAGCGGUAAUACGUGGGUCGCAAGCGUUAUCCGGAAUCAUUGGGCGUAAAGAGUGAGCAGGCGGUCCGGGAAGUCCGCGGUGAAAUGCGGGGGCUCAACCCCCGCAGGCCGCGGAUACUUCCGGUCUGGGGUGCGGGAGAGGCGGACGGAACUCCGCGUGUAGCGGUGAAAUGCACUGAUACGCGGAAGAACACCGGUGGCGAAGGCGGUCCGCCAGACCGAUACCGACGCUCAGUCACGAAAGCGUGGGGAGCAAAUAGGAUUAGAUACCCUAGUAGUCCACGCCGUAAACGAUGGGGGCCAGGGCGCGGGGUCGACCCGCGUCCGAAGCAAACGCAUUAAGCCCCCCGCCUGGGUACUACGUUCGCAAGAAUAAAACUUAAAGGAAUUGGCGGGUGCCCGCACAAGCAGUGGAGCAUGCGGUUCAAUUCGUGGCUACACGUAGAACCUUACCAGGGUUUGACAUGCCGGCAAAGGCCCCGGAGACGGGGAGAUAGCUAUGCCGGACAAAGGUGGUGCAUGGCUGUCGUCAGCUCGUGUCGUGAGAUGUUAGGUCAAGUCCUCCAACGAGCGCGACCCCCGCCGCCAGUUGCCAUCAUUGAGUUGGGCACUCUGGCGGGACCGCCGGCGACAAGCCGGAGGAAGGCGGGGAUGACGUCAAGUCAUCAUGCCCCUUAUGCCCUGGGCCACACGCGUGCUACAAUGGCCGGCACAGUGGGAAGCGACGCCGCGAGGCGGAGCGGAUCCCAAAAGCCGGUCCCAGUACGGACCGGGGGCUGCAACCCGCCCCCGCGAAGCUGGAAUUGCUAGUAAUCGCGGAUCAGCCAAGCCGCGGUGAAUGCGUUCUCGGGCAUUGCACACACUGCCCGUCACACCAUGAAAGCCUGCAACGCUCUAAGUCGCCAGCCCGACCCGAAAGGGGGGGCGGCGCCCAAGGCGGGGCCGGUGAUUGGGGUUAAGUCGAAACAAGGUAUCCCUACGAGAACGUGGGGAUG